rnacentral:lncRNA from 1 species
GCGUGAAGGAGUGAGCUCGCCAAGCACAACCAGCAGGGAUGAAAGGCUAAGUCAGUGAACAACAGAAAGACAGACAGACUUCUGAACAGACACACCGACCAGCAGAAACCACUGGGGAAAGCAACAGUCAGCCAGUGUGACUGACUUAGAGUCCCAAACAGCUGUCUUCUUCUGGGGACAACAAAGAGAGGUGGCUCAACAUGCAAGCAUGGGAACUAGAGUCUCAAAACUUCGAGAAUCCACCUAAACCUGAGUGUGGUGGUGCAUGGCUCUAAUCCCUGUUUACAGCGGUGCCCAUCCUGCCUCUCCUGGGUGUGUGGUCUGCAAACAGGAACGUCUUCUGAGUAUGCACGGUUCACUCUUCUAUGAGUACCAGCAUCUUCCGCCUUCAAUAA